rnacentral:rRNA from 1 species
AUUGAACGCUGGCGGCAUGCCUUACACAUGCAAGUCGAACGGCAGCAUGGAGAGCUUGCUCUCUGAUGGCGAGUGGCAAACGGGUGAGUAAUGCAUCGGAACGUACCGUGUAAUGGGGGAUAACGCAGCGAAAGUUACGCUAAUACCGCAUACGACCUGAGGGUGAAAGCAGGGGAUCGCAAGACCUUGCGUUAUACGAGCGGCCGAUGUCAGAUUAGCUAGUUGGUGAGGUAAAGGCUCACCAAGGCGACGAUCUGUAGCGGAUCUGAGAGGAUGAGCCGCCACACUGGGACUGAGACACGGCCCAGACUCCUACGGGAGGCAGCAGUGGGGAAUUUUGGACAAUGGGGGCAACCCUGAUCCAGCCAUGCCGCGUGAGUGAAGAAGGCCUUCGGGUUGUAAAGCUCUUUCGGCCGGGAAGAAAUCGCACAGGCUAAUACUCUGUGUGGAUGACGGUACCGGCAUAAGAAGCACCGGCUAACUACGUGCCAGCAGCCGCGGUAA